rnacentral:lncRNA from 10 species
AAUUGCCAAUUUCAGCUAUUCCUUUACGACAAUGCAGAUAGACUUAUAGGGAAAAUAAUAGGGACAAUAAUUCAGUCUGCCUUAUAGAGCAACUGCCAAGCAUCUAAGAGAGGAAAAGAUAAGUGUCAGAAGCCAAAGAUGUGAUGAGAUGUGAUGAAAGAAGCAAGAGCCUCCAUUCUGUCACUAACUCAAGUAAGGGGCCCUGAACCAAGGAAUGAAGGCAAUCUCCAGAAGCUGAAAAAGAUUGCUUUAAUUUGGAAUGAAGGAAGAAACAUCGCUUUGAAGAAAAAAGCAAACAGUGUGUUGUUUUGAGAAGUUCUAGCCAAAUAAACCGACAUGCAAAUUGAAUAAAGGAAAACAAGAUUCAGAGAAGAAAAAUAUGGUGUGGGUCUUCAUAUGUUUUUUGUUUUUGGACUUUUUAUUCUUCCUUUAAAGACUAACGCUGGACACAUUUACAAUGCAAAAGCUUGUCAUACCGACAUGGGAGGCAAAUCAGUGACUUUAAGUAUAUUAUAACUUUGGAAAAUGAAAAAAUUCUCAUUCAUGAUUAAUUUUGUUAUUUAGGUUAAUAAUCUAUUUAUGUUCAAAUUCUAGCUCAUAUAUUUUUAAAACACCUUUUCCAGAAGUCGUUUUUACAUUGCUGACAAAUGGAUAUGACAUCAAUUUUUUUUAGCACUUAUUCUGUGCCAACACCAGAACUUUAUAUGGGUAAUCUAAUUUAAUCUGUCUCUCCCCUAAGACCGUCUCUCUCUCUCUCUCUCUCUCUCACACACACAUACAUACACACAUAUACAUGCACACAUACACACAUACACAAAUGUAAAUGCACACAAUGGCAAAACUGAGGAUGGGACAGUUGUAUAACUUGCCCAAAGACAGGCAAUAAUAAAUAGUAAGUAUGUCUUUAUAUUUGAGCUGUGUUAUUUCCUUGAAGAACAAAUUACUGAACUUAGCAUUAUUUCUCCCCUUAUUUAUUUUAUUUUAUUUUACUUAUUUAUUUAAUCUGGAGGGACAGAAUUGAUUCAGCUAUGUAACUAAAAUUUUGUUAUUAUUUCAAUUUGCAUGAAUUAAUUUUUGAAGGACUUUCAUUUGGUUUCAAAAAGCCAGAAAAUUGUGUUUAUAUUCAGUCAUGACGUAAAUGUCAAAAGUCUUGUUUUCCAAUCUGGCAUACAAAAAAACAAAAUGUAAAUUUGAGAAACUUCUGUAUUUCAUUUAUUGCCAACCAAAUUAGAUUUUAAACCCUUGACCAUAAGGAUUGUGCCCAAUCUGAUUGUAUCCUCCUUACACAUUUUUACAUAAGCAAUCAUGUAACUUCAAAGAUGCAUUCUGCUCUUAGCACUUAAAAGCUUUUUAAACUAUUAAUGGCUUCAUUACCUUUUUUAAUGAUUAUACAAUCUAUUACAUAGGUAUCUUAUACUAAAUAUUUGCUUUGUAAUACAAACAUAAUAUAUCUUGCAGUUUAUGACUCAUAAUGAAAAGUUUGUAUAUGCAGAUUAUUUUUUCUUUCCUUUUGAUUAUUCUAUAUUUUAUUAUUUGGAGGCAGGGGGAUUGCCUGCCGAAAAUUGAUACGCAGGACCAAAGGAUAUGAAUUUUUGAUUUUCUUCCCUUUUAAUUGGGCCAGUUAAUGCAGCCAUUAGCAAUAAAUGAAUAUUGGAUUUUUCAGUGUCUUUUACAGCUGGGGGUAUUAAUGUUUGCUAAUUUGAUACAUAAAACACAGUACUCUUUAAUAUAUUUGAUUGCUCAUAAGAAAGAAUUUUUAAAGUAAUAAUGAUAUCUAUUGUUAUUAUAAACUUAAUGCACACUAAUUAGAGACAAUAUUAAAGAUAUAGA